rnacentral:rRNA from 1 species
GAUGAACGCUGGCGGUAUGCUUAACACAUGCAAGUCGAACGGUACCUUCGGGUAUAGUGGCGGACGGGUGAGUAACGCGUGAGAAUCUGUCUUCAGGUCGGGGACAACAGUUAGAAAUGACUGCUAAUACCGGAUAUGCCUAUGGGUGAAAGAUUUAUUGCCUGAAAAAGAGCUCGCGUCAGAUUAGCUAGUAGGUGGUGUAAGAGACUACCUAGGCGACGAUCUGUAGCUGGUCUGAGAGGACGAUCAGCCACACUGGAACUGAGACACGGUCCAGACUCCUUACGGGAGGCAGCGAGUGGGGGAAACUUUUUCCGCAAUGGGCGAAAGCCUGACGGAGCAAUACCGCGUGAGGGACGAAGGCUUUUUGGGUCGUAAACCUCUUUUUCUCAAGGAAGAUAAUGACGGUACUUGAGGAAUAAGCAUCGGCUAACUCUGUGCCAGGAGCCGCGGUAAU